UAGGGAAUCUUCCACAAUGGACGCAAGUCUGAUGGAGCAACGCCGCGUGAGUGAAGAAGGCUUUCGGGUCGUAAAACUCUGUUAUUGAAGAAGAACGUGUGUGACAGUAACUGGUCAUGCAGUGACGGUAUUCAAUCAGAAAGUCACGGCUAACUACGUGCCAGCAGCCGCGGUAAUACGUAGGUGGCAAGCGUUGUCCGGAUUUAUUGGGCGUAAAGCGAGUGCAGGCGGUCUUUUAAGUCUGAUGUGAAAGCCUUCGGCUUAACCGAAGAAGGGCAUCGGAAACUGGGAGACUUGAGUACAGAAGAGGAGAGUGGAACUCCAUGUGUAGCGGUGAAAUGCGUAGAUAUAUGGAAGAACACCAGUGGCGAAGGCGGCUCUCUGGUCUGUAACUGACGCUGAGGCUCGAAAGCGUGGGUAGCAAACAGGAUUAGAUACCC
rnacentral:rRNA from 1 species